CCUACGGGAGGCAGCAGUGAGGAAUAUUGGUCAAUGGACGAGAGUCUGAACCAGCCAAGUAGCGUGAAGGAUGACUGCCCUAUGGGUUGUAAACUUCUUUUAUAUGGGAAUAAAAUGUUCCACGUGUGGGAUUUUGUAUGUACCAUAUGAAUAAGGAUCGGCUAACGCCGUGCCAGCAGCCGCGGUAAUACGGAGGAUCCGAGCGUUAUCCGGAUUUAUUGGGUUUAAAGGGAGCGUAGGUGGAUUGUUAAGUCAGUUGUGAAAGUUUGCGGCUCAACCGUAAAAUUGCAGUUGAAACUGGCAGUCUUGAGUACAGUAGAGGUGAGCGGAAUUCGUGGUGUAGCGGUGAAAUGCUUAGAUAUCACGAAGAACUCCGAUUGCGAAGGCAGUUCACUGGACUGCAACUGACGCUGAGGCUCGAAAGUGUGGGUAUCAAACAGGAUUAGAUACCCCAGUAGUC
rnacentral:rRNA from 1 species